UAUGCAGAUGUGACUAAGAAUCUUGAGACAGGGAGAUUUUCCUGGGGAUUAUCCAGGUGGGCCCUAAAUGCAAUUUCAAGUCUCUUUAUAAGAGGGAUUGAGAAGGAAACUUCAUCAAAGAACAGGAAAAAAUCAGUGUGACCAUAGAAGCAGAGAUUGAAGCGAUGUGGUCACAAGGCAAGGAAUGCUGGCAGCCACCAGACACCGGAAGUCAGGAACAGAUUCUCCCCCGGAACCUCCAGAGGGGAGACAGCCCUGCUGUCACCUUGAUUUUAAGCCAGUGAUGUUGAUUUCAGACUCUGGCCUCUGGAACGUCCUUUCAGAAAUUCUCUAGAGCCUGAAAAAGUCACCCUGCCGAGGAUCAACUUCUUCACCCCAGAACAAGGCAGAGCAGAAGGAUGGAUCUGAGUGCAAACAGGUCCAGGACCAGCACACCAUAUGCCGACCUUGAGAAGGAAAUUCACUGAGCCAUUCCUUACGAGUGUUCCCAGGAGAAACAGGAAAGUGAGAAGUCAAGUCGGUCCAAGAAGAAUAAAGAGGCCAAGCCCAGUUGCAUAUCAGCAAUCUCACAGAGAGAGCUGCCUCAGUCCCUCGAGGCGUCUCUUUCUGCAGCCCAUGCUGGAGUGGCACAGUGACCCAUGAUAUUCAAGGUGGUGGCUCCUUUGUCAGAUGAAUUCCUGAGUGACCAUAAGCAGAGAUCUCCUAACGACCCAUGAUGGGUAGUGUGAGCAAGUAUGAACCAUCUAGUGGAGCAAGAAAUAGUGCCUAUAUAAGCACUGAGAUUUGAGGAUGGUUUGUUACCAGAGAAUUGCCUACCUUAUC
rnacentral:lncRNA from 10 species